AGGCACCUACGGAUCCCACUUCUACUUCCUCCUUGACUUUCAUUUCUCAUACCUUGUCUUGAGCCACAUCCUCUGCGCUAGAAACAGCUCCCACUUCCUGCUCGCCCAGCACCCUCUGAGCACUUCCUCCACCGCCAGCCCCUUUAUCAGGAGCUCCAACGCCCACAUCUCCAGGGCACGUUUCCAUCCUACUGUGCAGUCCCCGCUGAUCAGGAAAACGGCAAGCUGGGAUAAGGACUAUGGGUCAGACUUCAAAGCCCAGCUCCACACCCACUAACCUGUGGUCCUGGGCCCUUAGCCUCUGUGAGCCUCCAUCCAGCAGGCAGAUCUCAUCAAAUGAUUGAUAGUCACCAUGGCAACGGCUGCAGCCCUGCUCACCUGAAAUCUCUGCCCCCACCUGCCCAGCCAGGGGCAGUCCUGGCAGCGGAGUACUCAGCUCUUUCAGAUCCCUGAA
rnacentral:lncRNA from 1 species